CCUACGGGUGGCAGCAGUGAGGAAUAUUGGUCAAUGGACGAGAGUCUGAACCAGCCAAGUAGCGUGAAGGAUGACUGCCCUAUGGGUUGUAAACUUCUUUUAUAAAGGACUAAAACGAGGCACGUGUGCCUUUUUGCAUGUACUUUAUGAAUAAGGAUCGGCUAACUCCGUGCCAGCAGCCGCGGUAAUACGGAGGAUCCGAGCGUUAUCCGGAUUUAUUGGGUUUAAAGGGAGCGUAGAUGGGUUGUUAAGUCAGUUGUGAAAGUUUGCGGCUCAACCGUAAAAUUGCAAUUGAUACUGGCAGUCUAGAGUACAGUUGAGGGAGGCGGAAUUCGUGGUGUAGCAGUGAAAUGCUUAGAUAUCACGAAGAACCCCGAUUGCGAAGGCAGCUUACUAAACUGUGACUGACAUUGAUGCUCGAAAGUGUGGGUAUCAAACAGGAUUAGAUACCCGGGUAGUC
rnacentral:rRNA from 1 species